rnacentral:rRNA from 1 species
UACGGGAGGCAGCAGUGGGGAAUAUUGCACAAUGGGCGCAAGCCUGAUGCAGCCAUGCCGCGUGUAUGAAGAAGGGCCUUCGGGUUGUAAAGUACUUUCAGUCGUGAGGAAGGUGUUAAGGUUAAUAACCUUAGCAAUUGACGUUAGCGACAGAAGAAGCACCGGCUAACUCCGUGCCAGCAGCCGCGGUAAUACGGAGGGUGCGAGCGUUAAUCGGAAUUACUGGGCUAAAGGGCACGCAGGCGGUUAAUUAAGUUGGAUGUGAAAUCCCCGGGCUUAACCUGGGAAUGGCAUUCAAGACUGGUUAGCUAGAGUCUUGUAGAGGGGGUAGAAUUCCAUGUGUAGCGGUGAAAUGCGUAGAGAUGUGGAGGAAUACCGGUGGCGAAGGCGGCCCCUGGGACAAAGACUGACGCUCAUGUGCGAAAGCGUGGGGAGCAAACAGGAUUAGAUACC